UAGCAAUGUGAAGCGAGAGGCCAUAAUGUACAAAGAGGUCUUCACCUCAACUGCGUCUGCUGAAGAAAUGCGUCUGUGCAAUCAUUAGACUGCUGGCAAAUGAGAUGAGUAGAAUGUUGACAAAAUCCUCACAUCCAGGCUGCAAGUUGGUUAUCCGGUCAAGCUGCUGUUUGCUGCAUGAAAAAGUACACAUCUGCUGCUCAAGAUCUGCUACGUCAUUCUGCUGCACAAGAUGAGAUUUCGCUGGGACACAAUUCAAGUAUGACAAGGAUUCAACCAGAUUCGUCAGUCCUCAGACGUGUUCAGAACGCCACGUUGAUCUUCAAGCACUGGACAAAAUUUCUACAUGAAACAUUUCUCCGUUACAUCAGCCCAGGUGUUUAACAGCUGGAGUACGUGUGUGCUUUGUGUAACUCUGCUGCUCUCACAACUCCUGUACCCAUGGAAAGGGAUUGUCCUUGGCGUUCCUGUUUCAACUAUAAACCUGGCUAUUUAAUAAAAUGCUAAUAAAGUGUUUCUGAUGAUAUCUGUUCUAUUAAUAAAGCUGUGCCUUAUCUUA